UACGAAGGGGGCUAGCGUUGCUCGGAAUCACUGGGCGUAAAGCGCACGUAGGCGGACUCUUAAGUCAGGGGUGAAAUCCUGGAGCUCAACUCCAGAACUGCCUUUGAUACUGAAGAUCUUGAGUUCGGGAGAGGUGAGUGGAACUGCGAGUGUAGAGGUGAAAUUCGUAGAUAUUCGCAAGAACACCAGUGGCGAAAGGCG
rnacentral:rRNA from 1 species